UGCGGUUAAAAAGCUCGUAGUUGGAUUUUGGGCGCAGUCGUUCGGUCCGUCGCAAGGCGUGCACUGAUCGUUCUGGCCUUACUCCGGUUCUCGCCGGUGCUCUUGACUGAGUGUCGCGGCGGCCGGGACGUUUACUUUGAAAAAAUUAGAGUGUUCAAAGCAGGCGGUUCGCCUGAAUAAUGGUGCAUGGAAUAAUGGAAUAGGACCUCGGUUCUAUUUUGUUGGUUUUCGGAGCGCGAGGUAAUGAUUAAGAGGGACAGACGGGGGCAUUCGUACUGUGCCGUUAGAGGUGAAAUUCUUGGAUCGGCGCAAGACGAGCGACUGCGAAAGCAUUUGCCAAGAAUGUUUUCUUUAAUCAAGAGCGAAAGUCAGAGGUUCGAAGACGAUCAGAUACCGUCCUAGUUCUGACUAUAAACGAUGCCAACUAGCGAUCGGGGAGCGUUACUUUGACGACCUCUCCGGCAGCUUGCGGGAAACCAAAGUCUUUGGGUUCCGGGGGAAGUAUGGUUGCAAAGCUGAAACUUAAAGGAAUUGACGGAAGGGCACCACCAGGAGUGGAGCCUGCGGCUUAAUUUGACUCAACACGGGAAAUCUCACCCGGCCCGGACACAGUGAGGAUUGACAGAUUGAGAGCUCUUUCUUGAUUCUGUGGGUGGUGGUGCAUGGCCGUUCUUAGUUGGUGGAGCGAUUUGUCUGGUUAAUUCCGAUAACGAACGAGACUCUGGCUUGCUAAAUAGUUACGCGACCUUCCCGGUCGGCGUUUAACUUCUUAGAGGACUAGUGGCGUUUAGCCAACGAGAUUGAGCAAUAACAGGUCUGUGAUGCCCUUAGAUGUUCGGGGCCGCACGCGCGCUACACUGACCGGAUCAGCGUGUGUUCGCCUUGGCCGACAGGUCUGGGUAACCCGAUGAACCCCGGUCGUGCUAGGGAUAGGGAAUUGCAAUUAUUUCCCUUGAACGAGGAAUUCCCAGU
rnacentral:rRNA from 1 species